GAUGAACGCUGGCGGCAUGCCUAAGACAUGCAAGUCGUACGAGGUGGCCCAAUGAAGUUUGAGUGCUUGCACAAUUUCUGAUUUGGAUUUUCCACCUAGUGGCGGACGGGUGAGUAACACGUGGGUGACCUACCUUUGAGUUUGGGAUAACUACUGGAAACGGUAGCUAAUACCGAAUGACAUACGGUUUCGUUUCUGUAUUAAAAGGCGCUUUCAAGCGUCGCUCUUAGAUGGGCCUGCGGCGUGUUAGCUUGUUGGUGGGGUAACGGCCUACCAAGGCAACGAUGCGUAGCCGGACUGAGAGGUUGAACGGCCACAUUGGGACUGAGACACGGCCCAAACUCCUACGGGAGGCAGCAGUAAGGAAUAUUCGUCAAUGGAGGAAACUCUGAACGAGCAAUGCCGCGUGAGUGAUGAAGGUCUUUGGAUUGUAAAACUCUAGUUGUAUGGGAAGAACGUUACUAUUAGGAAUGAAUAG
rnacentral:rRNA from 1 species